GAUGAACGCUGGCGGCGUGCCUAAUACAUGCAAGUCGAGCGAACAGACGAGGAGCUUGCUCCUCUGACGUUAGCGGCGGACGGGUGAGUAACACGUGGAUAACCUACCUAUAAGACUGGGAUAACUUCGGGAAACCGGAGCUAAUACCGGAUAAUAUAUUGAACCGCAUGGUUCAAUAGUGAAAGACGGUUUUGCUGUCACUUAUAGAUGGAUCCGCGCCGCAUUAGCUAGUUGGUAAGGUAACGGCUUACCAAGGCAACGAUGCGUAGCCGACCUGAGAGGGGGAUCGGCCACACUGGAACUAAGACAAGGUCCAGACUCUUACGGGAGGCAGCAGGAGGGAAUCUUCCGCAAGGGGCGAAAGCCUGAUGGAGCAACGCCGCGUGAGUGAUGAAGUUCUUCGGAUCGUAAAACUCUGUUAUUAGGGAAGAACAAAUGUGUAAGUAACUAUGCACGUCUUGACGGUACCUAAUCAGAAAGCCACGGCUAACUACGUG
rnacentral:rRNA from 1 species